AUUGAACGCUGGCGGCGGGCCUAACACAUGCACGUCGAGCGGAGCUGCGGACGGGUGAGUACUGCCUCGGAAUCUGCCUGUUAGUGGGGUAUACCGUCCGGAAACGUGCGCCAAUACCGCAUACUAUCAGAUCAGUUUAGGUUGUGUUAGCUAGGUGGUGGGGUAAAGGCCUACCAAGGCGACGAUCCGUAACUGGCCUGAGAGGGUGAUCAGUCACACUGGAACUGAGACACGGUCCAGACUCCUACGGGAGGCAGCAGUGGGGAAUAUUGGGCAAUGGGCGAAAGCCUGAUCCAGCCAUGCCGCGUGUGUGAAGAAGGUCUUCGGAUUGUAAAGCACUUUAAGUUGGGAGGCGUUACCUACAGAAUAAGCAACGGCUAACUUCGUGCCAGCAGCCGCGGUAAUUC
rnacentral:rRNA from 1 species